rfam:Ipomoea nil DNA, scaffold: scaffold1421, cultivar: Tokyo-kokei standard.
UUUCGUGGAUGAUGAGAACAUCAAUUAUACAGUUAUCCCUGUCUGAUUUACUCUGUGCUGAAUGCAUACCUCUCAAGGCUGACACUGAA